GUUAUAUGAUCAAGUAAAGGAAGAGCACAAGGCGGAUGCCUUGGCAGCAUAAGGCGAUGAAGGACGUAAUAACCUGCGAUAAGCCUCGGGGAGCUGGUAAAUAAGCUUCGAUCCGAGGAUUUCCGAAUGGGAAAACCCAAUACACAUAAGUGUAUUAUCUUAUACUGAAUACAUAGGUAUAAGAGGCAAACCUAGGGAACUGAAACAUCUAAGUACCUAGAGGAAAAGAAAUCAACAGAGAUUCCGGUAGUAGCGGCGAGCGAAACCGGACCAGCCCUUAAGCUUAUUUUAGUCCAGCAAAAUAUUCUGGAAAGUUUAGCCAUAGUAGGUGAUAGCCCUGUAUGCGAAAGACUAAUUUAAGUGAAAUCGAGUAGGUCGGGACACGUGAAAUCUUGACUGAACAUGGGGGGACCAUCCUCCAAGGCUAAAUACUCUAUGCUGACCGAUAGUGAACCAGUACCGUGAGGGAAAGGCGAAAAGAACCCCGGCGAGGGGAGUGAAAUAGAACCUGAAACCUUGUGCUUACAAGCAGUCGGAGCAGACUUGUUCUGUGACGGCGUACCUUUUGUAUAAUGGGUCAACGACUUAAUUUCAGUAGCAAGCUUAACCAUUUAGGGUAGGCGUAGGGAAACCGAGUCUUAAUAGGGCGCUCAGUUGCUGGAAUUAGACCCGAAACCGGGUGAUCUAUCCAUGGCCAGUGUGAAGGUCGAGUAACAUCGACUGGAGGCGCGAACCCACUUAUGUUGAAAAAUGAGGGGAUGAGCUGUGGAUAGGAGUGAAAGGCUAAUCAAACCCGGAGAUAGCUGGUUCUCUUCGAAAACUAUUUAGGUAGUGCCUC
rnacentral:rRNA from 1 species